GAUCUUGAAUAUUAUUAUAGAUAGAGAUAAACUGUAAACAGCAAUAAUGUACAGCAAAGUAAUACCUAAAAAUAAGUCAACAUGACCAAAAUGGUCAAUUGACCCCCUAAGGAGUUAUUGUCCUUUAUAGUCAAUUUUUAACAAUUUUCAUAAAAUUUGUUAAUUUUUACUAACAUUUUCCACUGAAACUACUUGGCUAAGUUCAUUAUAGAUAGAAAUAAUUGUAAGCAGCAAGAAUGUUCAGUAAAGUAAGAUGUACAAACACAUCACCAUCACCAAAAC
rnacentral:lncRNA from 1 species